CAGCAGCGGAUGUGCUUGAGUUGCAGAUGGAGCAACUGCGUUGUGAGAGGGCCACGGCUUCAGCCCUCACAAUGAUAGCUGAUUAACUGAAGCAAUGAACAGACAGGCUGCAGUCAAUGAGAGGCUUCUUGAGCAGGGGCUCCUCAUAUGGAAAAAGGCUAAUGAAAGGAACAAUCAAGACUGGCGGUGCGUGGGAGGAUCCCGUCCCUACGCAUGCGCCUGGCCUUCAAUGGCCUCACGCCUCUCUUCUUCCUCUUCUUCAUGCGUCAAUUCAAACAGAGGAGCACCUGUGAUUACUGAUUACCUAAGUUCCUAUAUACAAUAAUAGUUUAAUAAUUGUUAACAAAAUAUUGUAUAUAUAAGUAUUAAUAAUUACUUAUACAAAAGGCUAAAAGCAUUUUGUACCAGCCAACCUAUAGGAGAGAAUAUGAGAAAAAUAAUAAGACUUUAAUCUUUGAUUGCCAUUAUCUGUAGCUUUAUUAAGUGGUAAAGGGACCUAAUUACUACCUAUAUUUUUUAGUAUUUGUGAUAAUUCAUAGAAUUUAUUAGUUCUAUCAAUAAAUAAAAUAUACAUGCAUUACAAUGUGUUUAAUUCAUUAACUUACAAUUUGCACACUGAGGGAAUGUGUAUGCUUUCGGUUAAAAUAUUCUUCCUCAUUCUGCGAGGGCCUCAGGCCAAAACCCACGCCAAUCAAAUAAAUAUCACUAAUACAAGCUUACUAUAAA